rnacentral:rRNA from 1 species
GACGAACGCUGGCGGCGCGCUUAACACAUGCAAGUCGAACGGAAAGGCCUGCUUUCCCUUGUGGAUUGCGGGUACUCGAGUGGCGAACGGGUGAGUAACACGUGAGUGAUCUGCCCCCAACUUGGGUAUAAGCCUGGGAAACUGGGUCUAAUUCCCGAUAGGACUGCAGGGUGGUGCCUGUGGUGGAAAACGAUUUUCUAGUGGUUGGGGAUGAGCUCGCGGCCUAUCAGCUUGUUGGUGGGGUAAUGGCCUACCAAGGCGGCGACGGGUAGCCGGCCUGAGAGGGUGGACGGCCACAUUGGGACUGAGAUACGGCCCAGACUACUACGGGAGGCAGCAGUGGGGAAUAUUGCACAAUGGGCGGAAGCCUGAUGCAGCGACGCCGCGUGGGGGAUGACGGCCUUCGGGUUGUAAACUCCUUUCGACCGCGAGGAAGCCACCUGGUUGGAAGGGUGGUGACGGUAGUGGUAGAAGAAGCACCGGCUAACUACGUG